UGAGCAAAAUAUGAACCACAGCUUCC
rnacentral:piRNA from 1 species